rnacentral:rRNA from 1 species
AACGUAGGAGACGAGCGUUAUCCGGAUUUACUGGGCGUAAAGCGUGUGCAGGCGGCUCGGCAAGUUGGAUGUGAAAUCUCCCGGCUCAACUGGGAGAGGUCGUUCAAUACUACCAAACUUGAGGUCAUCAGAGGAAGGCGGAAUUCCGGGUGUAGUGGUGAAAUGCGUAGAUAUCCGGAGGAACACCAGUGGCGAAGGCGGCCUUCUGGGAUGAUCCUGACGCUCAGACACGAAAGCUAGGGGAGCGAACGGG